UUAAUGGUCAGAGGUUGAAACCAUAUGAUCCCGGUGAAGGGGGACCAAUUGAAACUGUUAAACUCAUCUGAGUAUGAGGUGUCCCGUCGAGCCAUGCGACGUUAAACGAAGCGCUGCUUGGGAGGCAACCCAAGGGAGGUUUGAAAUUUCUUUAUGUAUUUUUGUUUUUUUUUAGGUUGAUUCAGUUUUUAUUUUCUUUUGCUUUGAUGUAAUCACCUAUUAUGGGUUGUCUUAAUCUAAUGAAUUUGAUUUUGAUUACCUCCAGUUUCCUGUUUAUUUCGUUAGAUAUGUGACUAUGUCUGGCUAGUGGUUAUCUUGAUCACUUACACCAAAUACUUGGGGCGUCCUCUCUUUCAGUCCCCUGACUGUAGAUACUGUUGUUUAUGAUUGGACGCACUAGUUAAG
rnacentral:lncRNA from 1 species